rnacentral:rRNA from 1 species
GACGAACCGAGCGAACGUUAUUCGGAAUUACUGGGCUUAAAGAGUUCGUAGGCGGCGCAGUAAGUAGGGUGUGAAAGCCCUCGGCUUAACCGAGGAAUUGCGCUCUAAACUACUGUGCUUGAGGAACCUAGAGGUGAGCAGAACUGAUGGUGGAGCGGUGAAAUGCGUUGAUAUCCUUAGGAACACCGGUGGCGAAAGCGGCUCACUGGGUCUCUUCUGACGCUGAGGCACGAAAGCUAGGGGAGCAAACGGG